AGUGAACGCUGGCGGCGUGCUUAACACAUGCAAGUCGCACGAGAACGCUUCUGCUUGCAGAGGCUAGUAAAGUGGCGCACGGGUGAGUAACACGUGGGUAAUCUACCCUUGAAUCGGGGAUAACAUUGCGAAAGCGAUGCUAAUACCGGAUAAUAUCGUUAGAUCUUCGGAUUUUGCGAUCAAAGGUGGCCUCUUCAUGAAAGCUACUGUUUGAGGAUGAGCCCGCGCCCCAUUAGCUUGUUGGUAGGGUAACGGCCUACCAAGGCAACGAUGGGUAGCUGGUCUGAGAGGAUGAUCAGCCACACUGGAACUGGUACACGGUCCAGACUCCUACGGGAGGCAG
rnacentral:rRNA from 1 species